rnacentral:lncRNA from 1 species
CUCGGGGAGCUGCAGUUUCCCCCCCAGACUCCAGCCUGACCUGCGCUUUGCGGUGGAGGAAUCGCCGGGCACAGUCCCCUACACUUAGGGGCUUCGUGGACUUCGAGGGUCUGGCAGCGCCCCCAUCUUCCCCCAGAAUAGAAGACAGAAUCACCUACAGACAUUUUUUUCUUGAGAGAGCAUGCAUGGGUUUCCUUAGCAUCUCACGAGGGUGGCCAUGGAAUUGGUGAGUCCUGUGUGGCCCAGCUUCUGAGGGGGCCAGGGUUCCUGCACUGGCCCCUGCAGGCAGAGUGGUAAGUUCCAGAGUGUCACCCCCGCUCAGCUGUUGUAGUAGUGGCAGGGGGCAUGAAACUGGCCCUCCGGGGAAACCAGAGCUGAAGGGCUGAGGAGAGAGGAGGGUGGGUGCUCUCAUGACAGCUUGGCGGAAGGACAGGUAACCAACUUGUCUUGCAGGUACUGGUUGCAUCCCACAGUGGCACUCCAGCUCCGGCCCCCUAGACUCUGAGCAGCUGGGAGCAGAGCCCCACGGGCUGUCUGGCUCAGUGGGCCGCAUGUAUCAUCACCUUGUCUACCUCCUUCAGGAAACUUUUCUGGAAAAAUGCUAUCCAACCCCCAAAUUCCAGCAAGCCCCUGAUCCACUCCUUGCCCCCUACAAUCUCCAGUGUCAGCUGUUAGAUCCGGGGACUGCCAGCUUCCUCUUCCUGCCCUCCUGCCUCCCCCGCAGCCGUUAAACGGCGCAGAGCGGAGCACCUGCCUGGUACACAGCAGACAUUCGGGAGAUAUUAGUACACGAAUUGGAAGUCUCAUUACUAGAAGCUUGAACUUACGAAUCAGCUCUGAGAACAUAGGAGAAUGCACCAAAGUCAGUUUCACGCUCAUCUUAAAUGUCUCGGCACAUUGGGAACCGGAGGUUCCUGCAACCCGAGGGGCUCCUUCCUUCUGUCUGGCUGUUUUUAUCCUACUUGUCCCUUCCGAGUCCGAUGGGGCUUCCCC